GGCAGUAGCUCCGGCUGCUACGGGGGUACGUGGUCAGGUCAGCUGUCUCCUGAAACCAAACCCAGUGUCCUGUUUCCAGGUGGGAAUUUGAAGUGACCAGUUUGUCUGCACCAGGGUGCGGAGGGAGAGGGGGCUUGCUGCCUGCCAUGGCCUCGGGGCCUCUGUCGCAGCAUGAAAAUUUGGGGUGAGAGGCCUUCAUGCCUCUGCCUGCCCUCCUCACCUGACCCCAGGGACGCCCUGGCCCCUGGAGGUGGGAGGAGAGUAUUGCCUCCUGACCCGGCAGCACCUGCUGCUCCCGCCAUCUCCUGAAUCCCUGGCCGCCUUUAUCCUCACACCUGAACAGAGGAAACCAUCACACCUUUGUGCCCGACGAGGGAGGCCCAGAGGGCUUAAACCUCCCCUGCUGUGAUUUCCGCAGUGUUCUCCAUAGGCGUAAGAUGGGUCAUCCUCUAGCCGAGGGGGAGCUGCCCAGCUGACCACUGGAAGCUGUUCUCCAGCUGCUCCCAGCCCAGACCAGGCCAACCAGCUCCGUCCGUGUAUGCAGCCUCAAACCGAUGAUGCUGUUGCCAAUCCUUGCUUCUCAGCUGAACGUGUUUUCUGAUUACAACGUAGUACAGACUUAAAAGAGGACAUAGAAAAGUUGAAUUGGAAGGAGGAAGAACGGGAAGAAGACGUGUUAUCAUCUUAACACCUCUCCAGGUACUCCUCCCUUAUACUGAGAAGCUGCACUAGUCAACCUCACCCAGACAGAUUCAGGACCAGAAAUCUACUCUCCCUGUGCCCAGUGUUUCAGACAGAAUAUUGACAAAUGGCAAUGUGCACAUCCCUGGAGGCCAAGGCUCUGAACACACUCCUGGAUAAGGAAACCACUUUGGAGGCCAAGGCGUUCCUUCAUGGGCCCCUCACCACCAUUCCCUGCAUACCCGGCCCAGCAGCUCUGCACCGUGGGCAGGAGGGGACCUGGUUCUAGAAGACCUUCCAUCGUGCUGAACCCAAGGCCCUGGGCGAGCUCCCCACCUCCCGGCCCCCCACCUCCUUUCCUGGAGUGGCCUGAGCCAGUAAGUUCCACCAGUAGGUCCCCUGCCCACUGCUGGGAGGCAGCUAGGCCUGUGGCUGCUGGAGUCAGAGGGCUGAGUCUGGCCUCUCCACGUGAGCUGGGCAUGCAUUUUCUCAUCCCCAAAGCGGUAACGAUGUUAUCGACCUCACAGUCAUUAUUUUAUUUUAUUUUUUGAUGAAGUAAGUUUCGAUGUAAGGAAAAUGCUCAAAGCAGUUGCUGGGACACACACAGCGAGCUGCCGGAAACAGCCACGGCAACGGAUCCACUCAUGAUGGGUCUGAGGAUGUGGCCCUGCCUCGGGGCUGGACGAGUGUGAUUCACCCGCUUCCGCCGGCCUGCAACAGGUCUCCUUUCACAGAAGAGGGGGUCAAGACGGGCAGGAAGUUGACGUCCUCCUCACAGAACACGCCCAUCACAAAGCCACGGGUGGCCAAGGCAGUCGGCUCCAGGGAAAGGCAGGCAACAUGACUGUGGACAGAGGACAAGGUCUGAGGUGGGGAGCAGCGGCCGGUCUUGGGUCGAAGUGUGGACAAGGAGCACCUCUGCGUCGCUCCAGGUCACUGGGCAGCAGCCCGCUUCAGGGUGGAGAACUCAUGCCUGCCUGUGGAAAGUGACUGUGGCCCCAGACAGCUCAGGGCUGUAAGCGGGGCCUGGCUUGCUCCCACAAAAUGCCAUCUCUGUAGAUCAAACCUCGAAGCUGGUGUAAAACACGUUAUCCACCAGACCGUCCUUCCCAGUUAUUGUUGUAAAAUAUAAUUACUGUUUUCCCCAAUUUCUGCAGAAAACUGCAUUGGUCUAUUCUCACAUGGGAAAGGUGCCAUCAUAAUCUCUGUGUAGAGAAGAAACUGGAGAAGCUGUAGUGGAGGGACAUUCUUGGCACCCAGCUGAAGACCGCGGUACCGUGCAGGUGGAUUAGGACAGCGAGGGGCACUGUGGCGUCGUGCAGGUGACCCAGGACAGCGAGGGGCACCGUGGCGUCGUGCAGGUGACUCGGGACAGCGAGGGGCACCGUGGCGUCCGUGCAGGUGACUCGGGACAGCGAGGGGCACCGUGGCGUCCGUGCAGGUGACUCGGGACAGCGAGGGGCACCGUGGCGUCCGUGCACGUGACCUGGGACACAUGCUCACAGGAAAAGGGUUUGUUCUGGGCAUGCCUACAGGGCAGGCCAGGGGACCUGGCUGUCCUCCCUGCGAGGAGGGUCUUGAUUUCCUAGCGUUUUCUGGGUCUCUAUUUUGGGUAGCUCUCCUGAUUGUACCUGAAAGUUUUCUUUUAAAUCCAGAAACUAUUAAUCACUGAAUGAUUCACUGAGAACUACUGAACCAUAAUUAUGGAAUGAAUCAUAUGCAAUUUAAUAACGAUUUAACUCAAAUAUUUAUAAAAAUGUGCUC
rnacentral:lncRNA from 10 species